GAGACAGAGCCUGUGCCCAAAAGGAAGGCUGGCCUGUGAUAGGUUUUUGCUAGGAGGAGAAAGUCAUUCUUAAUGAGAAAGAGAAAAAGUCAAAUACUGGUCACCAGUGCUCAUUAUUGGCUAAAUUGUGCUUAGUCCAACUUCCCUCUAACAAAUGGGGCUGUCAUUUCCAUAUGAAGUCGUUGAGCUUAACAUUUUAUAAGCACCCACUUAUAUGUAAACAUGUAUUUGUGAUAAACAAAUAUUUAAAGUGUU
rnacentral:lncRNA from 1 species